rnacentral:rRNA from 1 species
UACGUAGGCAGCAAGCGUUGUUCGGAGUUACUGGGCGUAAAGGGUGCGUAGGCGGCUUUUUAAGUUUGGUGUGAAAUCUCCCGGCUCAACUGGGAGGGUGCGCCGAAUACUGAGAGGCUAGAGUGUGGGAGAGGAAAGUGGAAUUCCUGGUGUAGCGGUGAAAUGCGUAGAUAUUGGAAAGACCACCAAUGGCGAAGGCACUUUACUGGGCUAUUACUAACACUGAGAGACGAAAGCUAGGGUAGCA